UUUUUUUUAAAUUUUAGCUUUUAUGUUAGAAUGGAAACCGGUCUUUCUUCUUGCUUCCUUUAACUAAGAGAGUAUUAAACCCUAAAGUUUAUGCUUUUCCUUUUCUGUGCCUAAAGCGGAAAAACACUCAUAUUGAUUGUGAAUGUUAUUUCCCCUGUAUCUCUAUUUUGUCUGUUGAUUAAAUAACACAUAUUUUCAGUCUGUUUCUUUUCCUUCCUUCCAACAUGGGCUUUAAGGUUUCCAUUUGCUUUUCAUUCAAACAAACCAGAAUUCUCUUGGGUCUUUAUAAAAUUUGGUUUAGUUGAAAUGCAAAUUCUGAGCUUCACUGGAGAGGGUGCUGAAGGAGAACCCUGGGGCUGGGAGGGGUGUAAUCCAGGGAUCUGACAUUAUAAAAAACACUGUGAAAUCAGUUCUUUGGGACUGAACAGUCUCAUUUCAAACAACAAAAGUGUUCCAUAGACUCAAUAGCUAUGAAUGCACUGAAACUGCCAGGGAGAUUUUUACAAACCAUGAUGUUUAGUCUGACUACUAUUGGAAAUGAAGGUGAAUUAGAUAUUACAAAGGUGCGUCCUUGGGCU
rnacentral:lncRNA from 1 species